GAGUUUGAUCCUGGCUCAGGACGAACGCUGGCGGCGUGCCUAACACAUGCAAGUCGAACGAGGUCCAACCGGUGGCAACACUGGUGAAGACCUAGUGGCGAACGGGUGAGUAACACGUGAGCAACCUGCCCCGAUGACCGGGAUAACACCGGGAAACCGGUGCUAAUACCGGAUGUCCCCACCGAGUCGCAUGGCUUGGUGAGGAAAUGGAUUCCGCUUCGGGAGGGGCUCGCGGCCUAUCAGCUUGUUGGUGGGGUAACGGCCCACCAAGGCUCCGACGGGUAGCUGGUCUGAGAGGACGAUCAGCCACACUGGGACUGAGACACGGCCCAGACUCCUACGGGAGGCAGCAGUGGGGAAUCUUGCGCAAUGGGCGAAAGCCUGACGCAGCAACGCCGCGUGAGGGACGAAGGCCUUCUGGGUUGUAAACCUCUUUCAGCAGGGACGAUAAUGACGGUACCUGCAGAAGAAGCCCCGGCCAACUACGUGCCAGCAGCCGCGGUGAUACGUAGGGGGCGAGCGUUGUCCGGAUUCAUUGGGCGUAAAGAGCUCGUAGGCGGCUUUGCAAGUCGGGUGUGAAACCUCCAGGCUCAACCUGGAGCCGCCACUCGAUACUGCAAUGGCUAGAGUCCGGUAGGGGACCACGGAACUCCUGGUGUAGCGGUGAAAUGCGCAGAUAUCAGGAAGAACACCGGUGGCGAAAGCGGUGGUCUGGGCCGGAACUGACGCUGAGAGCGAAAGCGUGGGAGCGAACAGGAUUAGAUACCCUGGUAGUCCACGCCGUAAACGUUGGGCACUAAGGUGUGGGACCCUAUCGACGGGUUCCGUGCCGCAGCUAACGCAUUAAGUGCCCCGGCUGGGGAGUACGGCCGCGAGGCUAAAACUCAAGGAAUUGACGGGGGGCCCCCACAAGCGUCUGAGCAUGUGCCUUAUUCUAGGCCAGCCCCGAAGGG
rnacentral:rRNA from 1 species